UGAGAAGCGAGUGCUGUGUAACACUGGCUUUAGGGGUUUCCCCGUCCAGAGGCAUGAUGUGGUGGAGCAGAGGGCUUUGGUUAUUCCUUGCUGCUGCAUUUCUGUUAAGGGAUACAGAUGGGCUUGGAGUGUGGAAUAAAAAACCUGUGCCACAUUGGUCCAGUGUAGCAGCAUGGGCUUCCAUGGCUCAGCCCCAAAAAGUCAGCAACCUUCCUCAUCAGACCAAGGUGGAGGGCUCCACUUCCAGUGCUGCAUCCAUGCAAAGUAGUUCCGCGUUCCCUCUGCAAGGUCCUGAACCCAG